GCUCUACGUUGUGGUCACAUGGGCUCUACGUAGGCUGUUUCUGAGGAUACGUAUCCAUCACGUGUCUUAUACGCAGCUGUGAAGUUGUAAUCGGAAUGGUCCAUGUGUGCCGGGUGGGUUUAUCUGUGAGAGUAAUUUGGUGGAGUACAGAACGAGAUGGCGUCCCGGAAUUUUUUGAACGACUGUCGUAGAACGUUUUUAGAAUGUACCCGAGUUUUAUCGUCGGAUGACCAGCAACUUGAUAAUGUUCAGCCUGUUAUAACCAGAUUGGAGACAAUGGCCUCGAGCAUUCGCUGGGCCAGUGGGCGACUCAUUGAAGCCGAAGUGGCUGAUGAAAUGAUUGGGCUCAUCAAUGAAUUAAUUCAGGAAGCCAGCAAUCAACAUCAACCUUCUUUUCCUGGUUUCACUGUACCUCGAAGGGCAGGACAUGUGGGAAGAUCAGUUUGUCAAAUAACACAACAGCAGCUGCAGAUGUUAUUAUCAUUUAACUUUUCUGGCAAACAGAUUGCAAACAUAUUGGGUGUAUCAAGAAGCACAGUGAAGCGACAGUUAAGGGUCGUUACACAACUCUAUCAGAUGAAGCACUUGACAGCAGUGUGCUGGAGAUUGUCUCUGCCAAUGACGAAAUAGGACCUGAAGCUGUUAGGGCUCGGCUUGCUGGUGAAGGCAUCCUAGUCCAGAGACGACGUGUGCAGCAAAGUGUAAUCAGGACUAAUCCUGAAGGUGCUGCUCUUCGGACAAUGUCCCACAGGCUUCACAGAAGAACAUACAAAGUGGCAGGACCAAAUUCACUGUGGCAUGUAGAUGGAAAUCAUAAACUCAUAGGUGGAGAAUUGUGAUCCAUGGAGGUGUUGAUGGGUACAGCAGAUUUGUGGUUUUCCUACAAGCUUCAAACAACAAUAGAAGUGACACUGUUAUGAACCUGUUAAUUGGAGCAGUCAGCCAGUAUGGUGUCCCUUCAAGGGUCAGAUGUGACCAUGGAGGGGAAAACAAUGGAAUGUGUCUCUUCAUGGAUAUCUUCCGAGGCUCAAGCAGGGGAAGUGCUUUACGAGGGAGGAGCACUCAUAACCAGCGCAUUGAGAGACUAUGGAGUGAUGUGUGGAGAGGUGUUACAAACGUCUAUUAUUCAUUGUUUGCAUGGCUGGAGAAUGAAGGAAAAUUGGACUCCAGUAAUGAAAUGCACAUGUGGGCUCUUCAUUUUGUUUAUCUCCCUCGGAUAAACCGUGAUCUCAGAUUGUUCAUUCAUCAGUGGAACCACCACAAGCUGAGAACUGGCCACAUGUCACUGCAUCAGAUUUUUGUGCAAGCUUGUUUGUCACAACAUUUGCAACAUCACACUGGCAUUCAAGGCCUCUUUGGAGCAGAUGAACAGCCAGAAGCAGAGGGCGGCGAGGCAGGGGCAGCCGCAGCGGAGGGCAGCGAGGCAGGGGCAGCCGCAGCGGAGGGCGGCGAGGCAAGAGUGCCUGCCUUUGACUGGCAUCAAACAGUGGAUGUCCCUGUGAAUCGGUUUAUACUCAAUGGAGAACAAUUGGAACACAUCAGGCAAAACAUAUAUCCUUUGGGGGGUGCAACUGGAACAUGUUCCUAAUAUCAGUUAGGAACUGAUAUUUUUGAACAGAUACUUAACUACCUGUCUUGAAUACAAAUGCCAAUUGCUCUGAUCCAGUAUUUUUAACUUUUUGCAGACAGACUUCAAAAUGUUAAAUACCAAUGUUUGUGAAUAAACACGCUCAUAUCUUGAUUAAUGAUAACUUUUAAGAAUUAAACAAAUUCAAAACUGUUAAUUGUGUAACUUAUUUCAGGGUGCCAGGGUACUGAGAGAUUU